rnacentral:sRNA from 1 species
GCUGGGCGUGGUGGCGCACGCCUGUAAUCCCAGCUACUCGGGAGGCUGAGGCAGGAGAAUCACUUGAGCCUGGGAGAUGGAGAUUGCAGUGGGCUGAGAUGGUGCCACUGCACUCUAGCCUGAGGGGAAAAAAAAAGAAGAAGAGAGAGAGAUAGGGUCUCAGGGUCUCACUGUAUUGCCCAGGCUGGAGAGCAAUGGCACAACCAGGACUAGCCGCAGCCUCGAUCCCAGGGCUCAGGUGAUCUUCCCGCCUCA